AUGUCCGACGAGCUCAAGCGCGGGAUCGCGGGCGCCGCCGCCGUCGCCGCCUCCCACCCGGCGCCCUACGCGCCGCGGGCCCCGGCCGACGCCGACCGCAGGCUCGCCGCCUCCGCCACCGCCUCGCUGGGCUCCCCGCCGCCGGCCGCCGCGUCGCCCACGGCGCACAAGAUCACGCUCAAGAGCGCCGACAUGAAGGAGGAGAUGCAGAAGGAGGCGUUCGACAUCUCCCGCGUCGCGUUCGAGAAGCACACCAUGGAGAAGGACAUCGCGGAGUACAUCAAGAAGGAGUUCGACAAGAACCACGGCCCCACCUGGCACUGCAUCGUCGGCCGCAACUUCGGUUCCUAUGUGACGCACGAGACGAACUACUUUGUGUAUUUCUACAUUGAUUCUAAAGCUGUCUUGCUAUUUAAGUCUGGGUGA
rnacentral:rRNA from 1 species